GCCGGGAAGAGGAAGAAAGAGAGAACUCAAGAGCACUGGGAAUGGGAACAUGGAGGAAAGCCCUGCAUGUUUGUUUGCACCUCAAGUGUUGGAGGUGCAAAUAUUUGGCAUGGAUCCUUUCCUGAUGCCUCCCAUUCCUACCGUUCUUGUGCACUCCUUCCUCUUCCUUUUCGCU
rfam:Triticum aestivum genome assembly, contig: Triticum_aestivum_CS42_TGACv1_scaffold_342786_4DL